UGCCAGACUCCUACGGGAGGCAGCAGUGGGGAAUAUUGCACAAUGGGGGAAACCCUGAUGCAGCGACGCCGCGUGAGCGAUGAAGUAUUUCGGUAUGUAAAGCUCUAUCAGCAGGGAAGAAGAUGACGGUACCUGACUAAGAAGCCCCGGCUAACUACGUGCCAGCAGCCGCGGUAAUACGUAGGGGGCAAGCGCUAUCCGGAUUUACUGGGUGUAAAGGGAGCGUAGACGGCGAUGCAAGCCAGAUGUGAAAGCCCGGGGCUCAACCCCGGGACUGCAUUUGGAACUGUGUGGCUGGAGUGUCGGAGAGGCAGGCGGAAUUCCUAGUGUAGCGGUGAAAUGCGUAGAUAUUAGGAGGAACACCAGUGGCGAAGGCGGCCUGCUGGACGAUGACUGACGUUGAGGCUCGAAAGCGUGGGGAGCAAACAGGAUUAGAUACCCCGGUA
rnacentral:rRNA from 1 species